rnacentral:rRNA from 1 species
UAAGCACACUGUUGGUUAUGUGUGCCCAAGCAUUGAGGCAGUCAGAGUAGGUAAAUCCGCUUUGAUAAUGCUGGGAUGUGAUGGGGAGCGAAAUUUAGUAGCGAAGUAGCUGAUUUCACACUGUCAAGAAAAGUCUCUAUCGAGGUUAAAGGUACCCGUACCGUAAACCGACACAGGUGGGUGAGGAGAGUAUCCUAAGGCCCGCGAGAGAACUGUUGUUAAGGAACUCGGCAAAAUGACCCCGUAACUUAGGGAUAAGGGGUGCCACCA